rnacentral:lncRNA from 1 species
CUGUGUUCCUCUUAGCCCUUCCCCAGCACCCCCAGACUGGCCAUCCCAUUGCUGUUAGACUAUAUUUUAUGGGAUGCAACAUAACCUGCUGCUGUUGGGUCUGGGGCAGUGGGGACAGGGUUUCCGGGGCUGCAGAGUGGCAGAACCAGGCAAGAGGCAAAUAGAGUCUGUUUUUUUUUUUUUUUAAUUUGUCCUUUCACAAUUUCACUCAUGUACACAAUGCAUACCCUCCUACAACCCACCCUCUCACAUCUCCCUACAACCUAUAAACCAUUCCUCUCCCCUACAAAUAUCUUUUCGCUGACUAGUGGGCUGAUGCCUACCCUGUCCCCAGCACUCCCUGCCCCCAGGGGACACAGCUGCCCACUAGGCAACAAGCCCAGAAGAAGAUAGUGCCAGCAUGCAAAUCUGGGGGUUUCUGAUCAGGCCCUGCCCCUGCUGCCCACGCAUCCAUCUGUCUUCCCCUCCCCACACCCACACAACUCCUCCAGAGCCCCUGGCAGAACCUCCUUAAGUAUAUGCUGCCUUGCUGUUCCUGAUGAGUCGACUCGUGUAUCUGAAUCUCCAGAUGGUGGUUUGCAUUCCCCCUGUCCUCCAACUGCAUGUAGCUUGACACACUCACUCAGAGCCACCAGAUGGGAGUGGGGGAGGCAAGAAGGACAAGUGAGGUGUGACGGGUAGAUGGGUGUAGUGGAGGCAAUUCAUCCAAAGGACUGAGCUACCAGGAUAGAGCAGGGUAUGUGUUAGACUCUACCAGGAGGGAAACAAGCUAAAGCUAAUAGAAAGAGUGGGGGCCAUGGUGUGCUGGGGAGAGGAGGGGAGAGGCGUUAUGUCCAUCAAACAAGAGUUUCCUCCUGAGGAAGGGAACCUGAAAACCAGGUCUCCCAGGCUGGGUCUAGAAUGUAGCAGAGCCAGAAAAAGAGGCAGAAAUCCUGAUUAGCAAGCUGUUAUCUGAUUUGACCACAGAUCUCCACACUGGAGUCCUACAUCUCAGCCUUAUUAACUUGUCUGGGACCUGGAUGGGCUCUAAGCUAAUCAAAGAUAGGUCAAAGAGGACUUCAGAUGGGCCCCAGCACUUGGGAGGCCAAAAAAGAGAGCUGCUUAGCCUGGGCUAUAUUGGGAGACCUUGUCUCAAAAAAAUCAAAACAAGAGGCUAGGGAGAUAGCUCCCUUGGUAAAGUGUUUGCCUUGCCUAGGGAUUGAGUUCAGACCCUAGAAGCUAUGUUUUUAAAAAGCCAGACUUGAUGGUGUAUGGGGACUCAGACAGGAGGAAUUCUUGGGGCCCUUCAGCUACCCAGCUAUAUUACAAUUCUCUGGGAGAAUAGAAGCAAUGGUUGGAUAUAUAUUAAAAAGAGACUUACUAGACUAAUGUAUAACAUGCAAUCUAGGUAGUUCAACAAUGGCUAUGUCACGCCAAAAAUGGUCAAGAAUCUGGUAGUUUGUCAUCCGAGGGUUGGUAGGCUGACAGCUACCAGUCUUCAGUCUGCAUUAGAAGUCUUAAAAAGCUUGUUCUGAUAUCAGUGAGUUCAGCAGUUGCAGCAACAGAACAGAUGAGUUUGCCAGCAAGAAUGAAGGCAGACAGGCAAAAAGCAAGCUUCCUUCUUUUAUCUCCCUUCUAAGUUUCCAUCCACAUUUAGUAUGAGUCUUACUUUUUUUUUGGGGGGGGGGGGUGUUGAGACAGGGUUUCUCUGUGUAGCCCUGGCUGUCCUGGAACUCACUCUGUAGACCAGGCUGGCCUCAAAUUCAGAAAUCCGCCUGCCUCCGCCUCCCAAGUGCUGGGAUUAAAGGUGUGUGCCACCCCUGCCUGGCCCAUUUUAAAUAAUAUAACCAAGAACUCCCUUAAAGAAGGAUGGUGGUACACACCUUUAAUCCCAUCACUUUGGAGGCAGAAGCUGAUAGAUCUCUGUGAGUUCAGGCCAGCCUCAGCUACACAGCAAGUUCCAGGCCAGGAAGAGCUACAUAGACUCUGUC